rnacentral:misc_RNA from 1 species
AAGUCGUAACAAGGUAUCCGUAGGUGAACCUGCGGAUGGAUCAUUAUCACGUAUCCACGUAUCAACCAUUGUGAACCGUCAGGUCAUUCCCUCGCUUAGUCAAACUCAUUGUUUUUUGUGAUGACUCUUGCCGCCCCGCUGGACGGGGUUUUCUCCUUUGUGAAGACAUGCAAAUCUCUGAAAAUAUAGCGGGGCGGCGCUUCACAAAGUGGGUUGCAAGAUCAUCCGAACAGUGUUUUUGUGCGUGUGUAGGGCUCUGAUCAUUUUUUUUCACAACUUAAACCUAAAUUUUAUAACUUUUGAACUGAUUUAUUUCAUACUCUUCGGAGAUGAAAUUCAUUACGAAACAAAGAACAACUCUUAGCAACGGAUAUCUUGGUUCUC